AAUAAACCAAUCUUUUAUUUUUUACCUAUAAUCUUUGACUCUUCGUCUUAUUUAAAUUUUUUUUACGAUUAGUAUUUUUAUUUUUAUUAGAUGAUAAAUCAUGAAUAGUACUUUACGUGUGACUAAUUUUUCCCUAAUUUUCUAAAAAAUUUUCAAAUAAAACGGAUGGUCAAACACUGGACACAGUCACGGAAGAACUGGUU
rnacentral:pre_miRNA from 1 species